GGGAUGAACGCUGGCGGCGUGCCUAACACAUGCAAGUCGAACGUUAGGGAAUAGCAAUAUUUCUGAAAGUGGCGAACGGGUGAGUAACACGUAGGUAACCUGCCGCGCAGAGGGGGAUAACGACUAGAAAUGGUCGCUAAUACCGCAUGGUACUAGACAGAUGGGAAUCUGACUGGUUAAAACCUUGGUGCUGCGCGAGGGCCUGCGUCCGAUUAGUUAGUUGGUGAGGUAACGGCUCACCGAGACGAUGAUCGGUAGCUGGUCUGAGAGGAUGAUCAGUCACACGGGAACUGAGACACGGUCCCGACGUCCUACGGGGGCA
rnacentral:rRNA from 1 species